UACGUAGGGUGCAAGCGUUAAUCGGAAUUACUGGGCGUAAAGCGUGCGCAGGCGGCUAUGCAAGACAGAUGUGAAAUCCCCGGGCUCAACCUGGGAACUGCACUUGUGACUGCAUGGCUAGAGUACGGCAGAGGGGGAUGGAAUUCCGCGUGUAGCAGUGAAAUGCGUAGAUAUGCGGAGGAACACCGAUGGCGAAGGCAAUCCCCUGGGCCUGUACUGACGCUCAUGCACGAAAGCGUGGGGAGCAAACAGG
rnacentral:rRNA from 1 species